UACAAUUUUCAUGCAUUGGCUUCGCUGUUCGUGCAUGUUUGUUGUUCUUCUUAUAACAUUCUUCAUGUAAUGCACCAAUAACCACCAUAUGUAUAUGUCCGUAAGUCGUACAACCUAACAACACUUCCGCCAUGGGCUCAAAUCUACAAUGGACCGAACUUGUGACUCUUUAACAUACUGGGCACACAAACCAAUCACUGAUAGUAAAACUCAGGAAGUAGCUUGGACAAACCCACUACAAACUCAACUUCGAAAAAAGUCCUGCAAUCCUGUUGAGUGUGCAAUAUGGGAUCUUGAGGCAGUAUGGACAUGCUAUACAUAUUAAAAUAUCGUGUAUUCAAAAGUUGCUGAACGAUUUUUUUCUUCUAAAUCGUACAAUAAGUGGAAUAACACUGUGAAGAUGCCCCUAUUGAAGCGCUCAUGCGUGUGCGAGUGUUAUUGAUUUCCUCUGUAACCAUAACCAUAUUGUCCCCUGUUUCCCAUAGGCCCAUUUUGUUCAUAUGAAAAAUGUACGCUUAAGCAUUUGACCAUUCUAGCAAAUACCUUUGCGAAUUGUGUUUCAAUAAUGUAAUUAACAUAACUUUUACCAGAAUCAGAAAGCAACGAAUCAUGAAUGAAUGUUCCUGUCCCUGAAUAAACCAGUUAUCAAGAAGCACAAGUGGGCGAGAAGGUAAGCUCGAGAAGGUGUUGCUUGUGCUCCACAAGCAUUUGUGUGGCCAUCUGCUUACGUUUGCUAAUCUUGAUUCUCGUACGAGUCAAUUGUACGCUACAGAUAAGAAACAGAAGUUGUGUAGACAAGACUUAAUUAAAAGGCUGCAUUUCCUUUCCAGCAAACGACCGCUACAACCGAUUUCCGGCCAGCAACCCCACUGAUACUGGUGCGCGACCGCGCUCACAUACCUGCCCGUUCCUUAUCGUGUUAUUAUCAUUGCCGAUGAUGAAGUUGACACAAAGGCCCAUGCAGCUGUGUGGCACCGUGACACCGGGCACGCGUAGGAAGGUAGUGGGUUCGUUUCGUUGUUGCUAUUGUUGUUGUUGGUGGUGGUGCUGUUGGUGCUGCUGAUGUUGUUGUAGUUGUUUCUUCAAGUACACCUUCACUCUUGGAUUCAUUUAUACCGCGAGCAAUCCACUUUUGUGAUAAACGAAAAGUGUCACAGCAGCAAGCAGGUGUAACUGGCCGUUGUUGUAGGUGCCAGUUGAUACUACUAAAUGUCUCAAAUGAACAAAUCAUCGGAUCGGAGCAUCGGACACUGUGCAGCAUAUCGAAAGUGGCAAUACAAAGAGCAUACACCUAUCGGAACGGACCUGCAAAAGCGUCACACAGCAGCAAAGCGGUGCAUAUUUGCGCGAUUAUAACGACAGUUAGAACCGAAACCGAAUCCUCUAGCCCAUACGCCGCGUAAACGAAGUACAUCCUCAUUAUGCUUCGUUGUGACAAUGACGUGAUGACGUCCUCGUUUCUUCACAUUGCGCCCGUGCGCGGUCGCUCCACGCUGAAAGCUGAAGCUGCCCGGUGUAUGAUUGAACGUCCACCGGUUCUGCACGAGCUCGAGAACGGGCCUGUCCACACACAACACACACAUUUGCAUGCCGACUGUCGAUCGAGAGCAUCCUGUGUGUGUGUGUGUGUGAGUUGAAACAAUUUUGGUAACGGUCGUCAUAUGCCAAUUUUUAUGCGAUCGUACACCACAUUACAAGCAUUUUCCAUUAAGCCAUGUUUCACUAAUAAAAUAAUUAAUUUUAUAAACUACA